CCAGGAGAUCCAGAGAGAAU
rnacentral:miRNA from 1 species